GGGAGGUAGUGACAAUAAAUAACAAUACGGGGUUCUUUCGGAUCUCGUAAUUGGAAUGAGUACAAUUUAAAUCUCUUAACGAGGAACAAUUGGAGGGCAAGUCUGGUGCCAGCAGCCGCGGUAAUUCCAGCUCCAAUAGCGUAUAUUAAAGUUGUUGCAGUUAAAAAGCUCGUAGUUGAACCUUAGGCCCGUGCGGGUGGUCCGUCCUCAGGGCGAGCACUGCCUCGUCGCGGGUCUCACCUUCUGGCGAGCGCGGAUGCCAUUCGUUUGGUGCCCGCGGGAACCAGGACCUUUACCUUGAAAAAAUUAGAGUGCUCAAAGCGGGCUCAGACGCUUGAAUACAUUAGCAUGGAAUAAUGAACUAGGACGAUGGUUCUAUUUUGUUGGUUUCCGGGACCGUCGUAAUGAUUAAUAGGGAUAGUUGGG
rnacentral:rRNA from 1 species